rnacentral:rRNA from 1 species
UGGGGAAUAUUGCACAAUGGGCGCAAGCCUGAUGCAGCCAUGCCGCGUGUGUGAAGAAGGCCUUCGGGUUGUAAAGCACUUUCAGCGAGGAGGAAGGUGGUGGACUUAAUACGUUCAUCAAUUGACGUUACUCGCAGAAGAAGCACCGGCUAACUCCGUGCCAGCAGCCGCGGUAAUACGGAGGGUGCAAGCGUUAAUCGGAAUUACUGGGCGUAAAGCGCACGCAGGCGGUUUGUUAAGUCAGAUGUGAAAUCCCCGGGCUCAACCUGGGAACUGCAUUUGAAACUGGCAAGCUAGAGUCUCGUAGAGGGGGUAGAAUUCCAGGUGUAGCGGUGAAAUGCGUAGAGAUCUGGAGGAAUACCGGUGGCGAAGGCGGCCCCCUGGACGAAGACUGACGCUCAGGUGCGAAAAGCGUGGGGAGCAAAACAGGAUUAGAUACCCUGGUAGUCCACGCUGUAAACGAUGUCGAUUUGGAGGUUGUGCCCCUUGAGGCGUGGCUUCCGGAGCUAACGNGUUAAAUCGACCGCCUGGGGAGUACGGCCGCAAGGUUAAAAACUCAAAAUGAAUUUGACGGGGGUCAUAGCUGUUUCCUG